AUUGAACGCUGCGGCAUGCCUUACACAUGCAAGUCGAACGGUAACGGGUUAAGCCGACGAGUGGCGAACGGGUGAGUAAAGUAUCGGAACGUGCCCAAUCGUGGGGGAUAACGUAGCGAAAGUUACGCUAAUACCGCAUAAGAUCUACGGAUGAAAGCGGGGGAUCGCAAGACCUCGCGCGAGUGGAGCGGCUGAUAUCAGAUUAGGUAGUUGGUGAGGUAAAGGCUCACCAAGCCUGCGAUCUGUAGCUGGUCUGAGAGGACGACCAGCCACACUGGGACUGAGACACGGCCCAGACUCCUACGGGAGGCAGCAGUGGGGAAUUUUGGACAAUGGGGGAAACCCUGAUCCAGCCAUGCCGCGUGCAGGAUGAAGGCCUUCGGGUUGUAAACUGCUUUUGUACGGAACGAAAGGCUCUGCCCUAAUACGGUGGAGAUAUGACGGUACCGUAAGAAUAAGCACCGGCUAACUACGUG
rnacentral:rRNA from 1 species